rnacentral:rRNA from 1 species
GAUGAACGCUGGCGGCGUGCCUAAUACAUGCAAGUCGAGCGAACGGACGAGAAGCUUGCUUCUCUGAUGUUAGCGGCGGACGGGUGAGUAACACGUGGAUAACCUACCUAUAAGACUGGGAUAACUUCGGGAAACCGGAGCUAAUACCGGAUAAUAUUUUGAACCGCAUGGUUCAAAAGUGAAAGACGGUCUUGCUGUCACUUAUAGAUGGAUCCGCGCUGCAUUAGCUAGUUGGUAAGGUAACGGCUUACCAAGGCAACGAUGCAUAGCCGACCUGAGAGGGUGAUCGGCCACACUGGAACUGAGACACGGUCCAGACUCCUACGGGAGGCAGCAGUAGGGAAUCUUCCGCAAUGGGCGAAAGCCUGACGGAGCAACGCCGCGUGAGUGAUGAAGGUCUUCGGAUCGUAAAACUCUGCUAUUAGGGAAGAACAUAUGUGUAAGUAACUGUGCACAUCUUGACGGUACCUAAUCAGAAAGCCACGGCUAACUACGUGCCAGCAGCCGCGGUAAUACGUAGGUGGCAAGCGUUAUCCGGAAUUAUUGGGCGUAAAGCGCGCGUAGGCGGUUUUUUAAGUCUGAUGUGAAAGCCCACGGCUCAACCGUGGAGGGUCAUUGGAAACUGGAAAACUUGAGUGCAGAAGAGGAAAGUGGAAUUCCAUGUGUAGCGGUGAAAUGCGCAGAGAUAUGGAGGAACACCAGUGGCGAAGGCGACUUUCUGGUCUGUAACUGACGCUGAUGUGCGAAAGCGUGGGGAUCAAACAGGAUUAGAUACCCUGGUAGUCCACGCCGUAAACGAUGAGUGCUAAGUGUUAGGGGGUUUCCGCCCCUUAGUGCUGCAGCUAACGCAUUAAGCACUCCGCCUGGGGAGUACGACCGCAAGGUUGAAACUCAAAGGAAUUGACGGGGACCCGCACAAGCGGUGGAGCAUGUGGUUUAAUUCGAAGCAACGCGAAGAACCUUACCAAAUCUUGACAUCCUUUGACAACUCUAGAGAUAGAGCCUUCCCCUUCGGGGGACAAAGUGACAGGUGGUGCAUGGUUGUCGUCAGCUCGUGUCGUGAGAUGUUAGGUUAAGUCCCGCAACGAGCGCAACCCUUAAGCUUAGUUGCCAUCAUUAAGUUGGGCACUCUAAGUUGACUGCCGGUGACAAACCGGAGGAAGGUGGGGAUGACGUCAAAUCAUCAUGCCCCUUAUGAUUUGGGCUACACACGUGCUACAAUGGACAAUACAAAGGGCAGCGAAACCGCGAGGUCAAGCAAAUCCCAUAAAGUUGUUCUCAGUUCGGAUUGUAGUCUGCAACUCCACUACAUGAAGCUGGAAUCGCUAGUAAUCGUAAAUCAGCAUGCUUACCGGUGAAUACCGUCCCCGGGUCU